GACGAACGCUGGCGGCAUGCCUAAUACAUGCAAGUCGAACGCUGAAGCACUCUGCUUGCAGAGUGCGGUGAGUGGCGAACGGGUGAGUAACACGUGGGGAAUCUGCCUAUAAGUGGGGGAUAACAUUCGGAAACGGAUGCUAAUACCGCAUAUAUUCUUGGACCGCUGGUCCUUGAAGAAAGGCGGCUUUGCUGUCGCUUAUAGAUGAUCCCGCGACGUAUUAGUUAGUUGGUGGGGUAAAGGCCUACCAAGACAAUGAUACGUAGCCGACCUGAGAGGGUGAUCGGCCACACUGGGACUGAGACACGGCCCAGACUCCUACGGGAGGCAGCAGUAGGGAAUCUUCCACAAUGGGCGAAAGCCUGAUGGAGCAAUGCCGCGUGAAUGAAGAAGGUCCUUCGGAUCGUAAAGUUCUGUUAUUGAGAAGAACAAGUCCAAGGAGUAACUGUCUUGACUUUGACGUACCUAACCAGAAAGUC
rnacentral:rRNA from 1 species